rnacentral:rRNA from 1 species
AUUGACAAAACUCCAGAGUGUUUGUUCUGCUCUGAACAGGAAACGGUAGACCACUUGUUUUUUGGUUGUGUGGUAGAAAAAUACACCUGGAGCGAGGUUUCCUCCUUUUUCUCUAUUGAUUUAGGGUCUAGUUACCUCUUCAUUGCUAAAUUUUGGCCUGCAAUUAAAAAACAUGAAGUGUUGAAUGCUUUUUGUGCUUAUGUAUUGUGGAGCCUAUGGAAAAUUAGGAAUAAACAUGUCUUUGAUAAUGAUGUCUGGUCUGACAUUAAGCAGAUCUGGUGGCUGGUCUGGAGGACCCUCAAGAGGUGGAUGGUUCUAUACUCAAAGGACUCGUGGGAGAAAAUGCAGAAGAUACUGCACUGGAUAACCUGCAUCCUCAAAACACCCCUGCAGCUGACUAUGGGAUGA